rnacentral:rRNA from 1 species
CCUACGGGUGGCAGCAGUGAGGAAUAUUGGUCAAUGGGCGAGAGCCUGAACCAGCCAAGUCGCGUGAAGGAUGACUGCCCUACGGGUUGUAAACUUCUUUUGUCCGGGAGCAAUUGGGUCCACGCGUGGGCUUAGCGAGAGUACCUGAAGAAAAAGCAUCGGCUAAUCCGUGGCCAGCAGCCGCGGUAAUACGGAGGAUGCGAGGGUCAUCCGGAUUUAUUGGGUUUAAAGGGUGCGUAGGCGGAAUAUCAAGUCAGCGGGAAAAAUUCGGGGCUCAACCCCGUCGUGCCGUUGAAACUGAUGUUCUUGAGUGGGCGGAAAGUAUGCGGAAUGCGUGGUGUAGCGGUGAAAUGCAUAGAUAUCACGAAGAACUCCGAUUGCGAAGGCAGCAUACCGGCGCCCAACUGACGCUGAAGCACGAAAGCGUGGGUAUCGAACAGGAUUAGAUACCCCUGUAGUC